rnacentral:rRNA from 1 species
CAGCCGCCGCGGGAAUACGUAGGGGGCAAGCGUUAUCCGGAAUAACUGGGCGUAAAGGGUGCGCAGGUGGUUUAACAAGUUAGUGGUGAAAGGCAUAGGCUCAACCAAUGUAAGCCAUUAAAACUGUUUAACUUGAGUGCAGGAGAGGAAAGUGGAAUUCCUAGUGUAGCGGUGAAAUGCGUAGAUAUUAGGAGGAAUACCAGUGGCGAAGGCGACUUUCUGGACUGCAACUGACACUGAGGCACGAAAGCGUGGGGAGCAAACAGGAUUAGAUACCCCCGUAGUCCCUGUCUCUUAUACA